UAAGGUAAAAUACAUCCUUUCCUCUUCCAA
rnacentral:piRNA from 1 species